CUUUAAAACCUUCCUCAUCUUACUGUUCAUCAUCUUACGUUUUUUUACGCUAAUCCACAAUGUUGUCAUGGUUCAGGGAAAAAUACAAAACAACAAUUCAGACUCUCCCUUGACUAAAAGACCAACACAUUGUAGCACGUAAAUUGUACGUAUAACUCCACUUCUAUAGCAAAUUGUAAAUUGGGUUAUUUGAUGAAAUUGCACUUUGUUAUUUCUUGCUCUUCUGAGUUUGUAUCCUUAUGGUUGAAUGCACUUAUUGUAAAUCGCUUUGGAUAAAGGCGUCAGCUCAAUUACAUGUAAUGUAAUUUAUAGGAAAAAUAAUCCACAAUGCACAGUUAAUCCAAAAACUAAAUGCCGGUAUGAAAGCUGUGUGGUGUUAUUUGUCCAAAAAUCACUACUUUCAAGCGCUUCUUUACUUCCUCGAGAUGCGUUCUUCAAAGAUAAAUAAAAAUGCCAAAAACAUAACCGAGUCCUGCAUCCCACUGUAGCAAAAGAGUCAUGACAAUAACCUCUCCGGCCAUGUUGUCACUGAUGAAUAAAGUAAAUAGACAUGCGCAUGCGCAGGCUCCAUGCAGCUGACGCAGAGAGGUGUGGUUUUGUGUUUUAACCGCGUUUCACUGAAGAGACAGUAUUUAAGCAGGAUAUCCGACUCUGUCAAUAGCAUGCCAACACAACCCAACAAGGAGCGACGCCGCAGGGUCGGCGGCGGCUUUGCGCAUGCGCUCUUCAGCUUUUCGUCUCGUGCGACGGGCGGCGGUUCUCUCCGCUCGGACUGCAGCUGGAUCUGCGGCGCAAGCCGCGAGGCUCCCGUGAGACCGACUCGUUAAACAGUAACCGCAGAACAGAAACAUCUGGCACAUCUUGAUCCCUGUCUGUUCAGCGGUGGCUGCUCUUCUGAUGGUGGUUUUGUGUUGCUGGGUCUGCUGUAAAGUGAGGCGUCGUAGGAAAACAAGUAAAGAGCUUAUGGAAUUCGACCUCGAAUUUCGACGUUUGGACAUGAACUCACUGAGUGCUCAAUGAACAGGACUCCUCACAUUACUCUGACGUUAUAAAUGUAUUGUUUUGUAUUUUGCUUAAAUGUUGAAAAAAAACACUGACUUGAGUCGUCAGUGAAAUGUCGACACGUCAUGUUAAUCUCAGCAGCAGCACCAUCAACAACAGCUUUGUGAAGUCUCAUUCUGACCAGAAUAGAUCAUGUAAAUAAUUCUUGUUUACUCUACUCUUUAAUUAUAAAAUACUGAUGCUUACAAUUAGGACCCCAAAAGUAGUUUUGAGGUCUUUAAAAACAUCCUUUAAUCCGUCUCAAAUAAAGUUAAUUUCUUCAUCAUUUCACUCAAUAAUAGUGGUCUCUCUGCAUUGUUGUUGUUUGCUUAUUUUGAGUCUUGGUGGUUUAAUGUUUGCACUGUAGCCUUGUGUGAAAAGGAAGAGCCUUUUCCCCAAAUUGUAUAAAAGCAAGGGGAAACAUCGGGAGAGUCUGGAGUGAAGUCACCUGCAAGAGGUUGUGGUUAUUUGGUUCAGUUUGUUCCUGGUUUUCCUCUUUGUCCAUUAGAAGUGUUUGUUUUUUCUCUGUUUUCCUGAAGACCACCGAGGAUAAUAAAACGGAAUGUUUAAUCGCA